UACGUAGGUGACAAGCGUUGUCCGGAUUUACUGGGCGUAAAGAGCGCGCAGGCGGUCGUUCAAGUCGAGUGUGAAAGCCCCCGGCUCAACUGGGGAGGGUCAUUCGAUACUGAUCGACUCGAAGGCAGGAGAGGGUAGUGGAAUUCCCGGUGUAGUGGUGAAAUUCGUAGAUAUCGGGAGGAACACCAGUGGCGAAGGCGGCGACCUGGGCCAAUAUUGACGCUGAGGUGCGAAAGCGUGGGGAGCAAACAGG
rnacentral:rRNA from 1 species